CGCACACUGCCCGGGUUUUCAGGGACAGGUUCCUCUGCUAAGGGCUGCGAAGGCGUAAUGCCGGUCCUGGCAGACGUGAUAUCUAGACGAAGCCUAAGAUUUGAAGCACUCUCACUAUUAUACUGAAGGUCCCUCCCCGCUAGUUUGCGAGCCGAGCACGUGCCUCCACCAACCCGAGCCUCGGUUCCUUUUUUUCUUUUAACGCUGAUGGUCAUGCGGACCUCACAGAGCAGCUGUGGGGUUUGCACAAGCCACCCACUAAACGGAACGAAGCGUCUUGCGAACACAGCAGCAGGCGUCACUCAGGCGGCUGUGUUCUUUAGGUGCGAACUGACCUAACUCUCAGAACAACAGCAGCACCGUCCGGUGAGAAAGCGGACUCUCACCCGGGGGCCCUCUGUCGCCCCGCCUGCAGGUACAGGGCCGGGACUGGCCGGGCCUUUCUGGUUCUCCCCGCCGACCCACAGCCCGCGCUUUGCGGCCGCUCACGGUCGCCAUUAUACACGCCCCCGCCCCGCCCCGGGCUCCUCGCGGGUCGGGCUGCAGGCGGGCGGGCGGGCACGCGACCCCCGCCCCCGACGGGCUGUACAGGCUCCUACACUGCAGAGACCCCCUGAGGGACUCCCGGGACUUCUCGUUUCCUCCUCCCCGGGGACACGUGCACCCGCCAUGCUGGUCCCCAAGCCGCCCAGACUCCCCACCACCCGCGCCUUCUCACCUGAGGUACGACCCCUCGGCACUACCCCAGCAAUGGAGAGCUGCCCGACCCUCUCCACACAGCCGCCCAGACAGCGGAAGCCGAGGGGCGGGACUAAGGCUGUACAUCCGCAGAUGGAGCACAGAAAACCCGUUCCCGGGGUGCUGCGCGGCGAGCCGGUUCGGUACAAGACUACAUUUCCCAUAUAACUCCGCGCCCGCUCCUUGCCUAGACUUGGCAGCGUUUCCGGUUUUUUAGACGGUUGGAAGAUGUUGACGUUGACCUCUGCUGCGUAGAUCGUCUCAGAAUCCCCAAAUGUUAGGGGUUAAACUUGAAGUCUACCGCCAAAUACAAUGCGUGGUCCUUGAGCAAAUCCUGAUUGAAUAAACAACAGCUGCCAGAGACAUUGAAGACAGCUGGGAAAACUUGAAUAUGCACUGGGUUUCUCUUCAGUGUAAAUAUGAUACGGAUGUCCAUAGAAAAACCUACUGGUUUCAUAAAGCAAUACAGGUCCAGGAAGAAGAGAAAGUGAGAAGGUGGCGCGUGUCUGGAGCUGGCGUUCAGAGCAGCGGGCCAGAGAAGCUGCAAUCACCUUGUUAGGACCACGAUGCAGGCGCUGGGACAAAGUAGGGCCAUACGCACAGCUCUCAAGUAAAACAAAUAACUUUCAAAAUUUAAAUGUUUCUGG
rnacentral:lncRNA from 1 species